rnacentral:rRNA from 1 species
UACGGAGGGUGCAAGCGUUAUCCGGAUUCACUGGGUUUAAAGGGUGCGUAGGUGGGCAGUUAAGUCAGUGGUGAAAUCUCCGGGCUUAACCCGGAAACUGCCAUUGAUACUAUCUGUCUUGAAUAUCGUGGAGGUAAGCGGAAUAUGUCAUGUAGCGGUGAAAUGCUUAGAUAUGACAUAGAACACCAAUUGCGAAGGCAGCUUACUACCCGAAUAUUGACACUGAGGCACGAAAGCGUGGGGAUCAAACAGG